rnacentral:rRNA from 1 species
UACAGAGGGUGCAAGCGUUAAUCGGAUUUACUGGGCGUAAAGCGCGCGUAGGUGGUUCAGUAAGUUGGAUGUGAAAUCCCCGGGCUCAACCUGGGAACUGCAUCCAAAACUGCUGAGCUAGAGUACGGUAGAGGGUGGUGGAAUUUCCUGUGUAGCGGUGAAAUGCGUAGAUAUAGGAAGGAACACCAGUGGCGAAGGCGACCACCUGGACUGAUACUGACACUGAGGUGCGAAAGCGUGGGGAGCGAACAGG